rnacentral:tRNA from 1 species
GCGAAAGUGGCGGAAUUGGUAGACGCCCUGGUUUUAGGUACCAGUGCCGCAAGGCGUGGGGGUUCGAGUCCCCCCUUUCGCA